rnacentral:rRNA from 1 species
GACGAACGCUGGCGGCGUGCUUAACACAUGCAAGUCGAACGGAAAGGCCUGCUUUCCCUUGUGGAUUGCGGGUACUCGAGUGGCGAACGGGUGAGUAACACGUGAGUGAUCUGCCCCCAACUUGGGUAUAAGCCUGGGAAACUGGGUCUAAUUCCCGAUAGGACUGCAGGGUGGUGCCUGUGGUGGAAAACGAUUUUCUAGUGGUUGGGGAUGAGCUCGCGGCCUAUCAGCUUGUUGGUGGGGUAAUGGCCUACCAAGGCGGGGACGGGGAGCCGGCCUGGGAGGGGGGACGGCCACAGUGGGACUGGGAUACGGCCCAGACGCCUACGGGAGGCAGCAGGUGGGAAUAUUGCACCAUGGGCGGGAGCCUGAUGCAGCGACGCCGCGUGGGGGAUGACGGCCUUCGGGUUGUAAACUCCUUUCGACCGCGAGGAAGCCACCUGGUUGGAAGGGUGGUGACGGUAGUGGUAGAAGAAGCACCGGCUAACUACGUG